rnacentral:lncRNA from 1 species
GUGAAGGAAAGAUGGCACCCGCUGAUGCUUAUUGAUGCUUGCUGAACACUGACGGAGACCAAAGAGUGGAUGUGAGCAUGGUAUCUGUGUUUUUGCCAGUUGGUUGAAUAACACAUCUGCUGGGAACGAGGAGGACUGCUGAAGAGCAGAUCUACCAUCUCUAAGCUACCAAAUUUAAGAUACUCAGCUGAUAAAGCUGCCAGUUGCU